GCUGCCCUCAUUGUGACAGUGGCCGGUCUCUCGAUCCAUGUAUCGCAGAUACGUCAGUCUCUUAAACGAAUGCAGAGCGAUCUCAGUCACCAGUUCACUGAGAUGGAAACGAAGUACAGAUCUGUCAACGAAACCAAGGCUGAAAUCUGUGAAAUUUUGACCAGCAGAAGAGAGCAAAACAGUUCCAAGGACUGGGUCACAAAUAAAGACCGGUGUUAUUACGUAUCCAGGUUUGAAGCAUCUUUCCAAAAAGCGAUACAAGAAUGUUCAAUCCGUGAUUCAAG